UACGUAGGGUGCAAGCGUUAAUCGGAAUUACUGGGCGUAAAGGGCGCGUAGGUGGCCUUCUAAGUUGAACGUGAAAUCCCUGGGCUCAACCCAGGAACUGCGUCCAAGACUGGGAGGCUUGAAUCCGGGAGAGGGAUGCGGAAUUCCAGGUGUAGCGGUGAAAUGCGUAGAUAUCUGGAGGAACACCGGUGGCGAAGGCGGCAUCCUGGACCGGGAUUGACACUGAGGCGCGAAAGCCAGGGGAGCAAACGGG
rnacentral:rRNA from 1 species